UGCAUCGGCCGGGAAUCGAACCCGGGCCGCCCACGUGGCAGGCAAGCAUUCUACCACUGAACCACCGAUGG
rnacentral:tRNA from 1 species